rnacentral:rRNA from 1 species
CUACGGGGGGCACCAGUGAGGAAUAUUGCACAAUGGGGGGAACCCUGAUGCAGCAACGCCGCGUGGAGGAUGACGCAUUUCGGUGUGUAAACUUCUUUUAUAUGUCGAGAAAAUGACGGUAGCAUAUGAAUAAGCACCGGCUAACUCCGUGCCAGCAGCCGCGGUAAUACGGAGGGUGCAAGCGUUACUCGGAAUCACUGGGCGUAAAGGACGCGUAGGCGGGUUGGAAAGUCAGGUGUGAAAUCCUACAGCUUAACUGUAGAACUGCACUUGAAACUUCUAAUCUAGAGUAUGGGAGGGGGAGAUGGAAUUAGUGGUGUAGGGGUAAAAUCCGUAGAUAUCACUAGGAAUACCUAAAGCGAAGGCGAUCUCCUGGAACAUUACUGACGCUAAGGCGUGAAAGCGUGGGGAGCAAACAGGAUUAGAUACCCGCGUAGUC